UCUAAACAAAAAAAGGUAAUACCUUUAGGGGAACCUUCGCUUACUGACGGCCUUUUUUCUAAUCAAAGGAACUUGUUAAGUAAUCGAAAUUACACGUUAAAUCUCACUCUCCUCAUAAGUUUUUAUACCGUCGUCUUAAGAGGAUACUAUCUUUUUUCCUCAAAACUAAUACCCUAAACAAGUCAGAUCAAGGUGAAGCCUACAGGAAAGAUUUUAAUGAGUUAUUCAUAAAAAUAAUUUAUGGACCUUAAUGUAACCUUAUAAAUAAAUUAAGAUUUGAAAGUACAUCCUUUAUUAAUAAUUCUUAUGGAGUUAGUAAAAAAAGGUGU
rnacentral:rRNA from 1 species